UGUGACAAGCUACUAAGGGCAAUCGGUGGAUGUCUUGGCACCAAGAGCCGAUGAAGGACGUUGGAGCCUGCGAUAAGCCCCGGGGAGUUGGCAACCAAGCUGUGAUCCGGGGGUGUCCGAAUGGGGAAACCCAGCUGGCAUUCUAAAGCCAGUUACCAGUGCCUGAACACAUAGGGUUCUGGAGGGAACGCGGGGAAGUGAAACAUCUCAGUACCCGCAGGAAGAGAAAACAAUAGUGAUUCCGUGAGUAGUGGCGAGCGAAAGCGGAUGAGGCUAAACCAUGUGCGUGUGAUAGCCGGCGUGCGUUGCGUAUAUGGGGUUGUGGGAGCAUUCAGAUCCUAAUGCCGUGGGGUCAGGGAGUUAUAAAUCGUUGUUGAAGUCGAAUCUUCUGGAAUGUUGAGCCGUAGUGGGUUAUGGCCCCGUAGGCGUAAGACAGCGACUUCCGAGUGUUUUCCCAAGUAGCACGGGACCCUUGAAAUCCCGUGUGAAUCUGGCGGGACCACCCGCUAAGCCUAAAUACUUCUUGGUGACCGAUAGCGGACUAGUACCGUGAGGGAAAGAUGAAAAGUACCCCGGGAGGGGAGUGAAAUAGUACCUGAAACCGGUUGCCUACAAUCCGUCGGAGCAUCUCCUUGUGGGGUGUGACGGCGUGCCUUUUGAAGAAUGAGCCUGCGAGUUAGUGGUGUGUGGCGAGGUUAACCCGUGUGGGGUAGCCGUAGCGAAAGCGAGUCUGAAUAGGGCGAUAUAGUCGCAUGCUCUAGACCCGAAGCGGAGUGAUCUAUCCAUGGGCAGGUUGAAGCGUGGGUAAGACCGCGUGGAGGACCGAACCCACCAGGGUUGAAAACCUGGGGGAUGACCUGUGGAUAGGGGUGAAAGGCCAAUCAAACUCCGUGAUAGCUGGUUCUCCCCGAAAUGCAUAUAGGUGCAGCGUCGCGUGUUUCUUACCGGAGGUAGAGCACUGGAUGGUCUAGGGGGCUUACCGGCUUACCGAAAUCAGCCAAACUCCGAAUGCCGGUAAGUGAGAGCGCGGCAGUGAGACUGCGGGGGAUAAGCUCCGUAGUCGAGAGGGAAACAGCCCAGAUCACCAGCUAAGGCCCCUAAGCGAUUGCUAAGUGGAAAAGGAUGUGGAGUUGCCCAGACAACCAGGAGGUUGGCUUAGAAGCAGCCACCCUUGAAAGAGUGCGUAAUAGCUCACUGGUCAAGUGAUUCCGCGCCGACAAUGUAGCGGGGCUCAAGCAAUCCGCCGAAGCUGUGGCAUUCACAUUUGUACUCGGCCGUACUCUUCGGAGUGCGGUCCAGGUGUGUGGAUGGGUAGGGGAGCGUCGUGCAGCGUGUGAAGCAGCCUAGUGAUGGAGUUGUGGAUGCUGCACGAGUGAGAAUGCAGGCAUGAGUAGCGAAUGACGGGUGAGAAACCCGUCCGCCGGAUGAUCAAGGGUUCCAGGGUCAAGCUAAUCUGCCCUGGGUAAGUCGGGACCUAAGGCGAGGCCGACAGGCGUAGUCGAUGGACAACGGGUUGAUAUUCCCGUACCGGCAUUAACACGACCCGACCGAAUCCGAUGAUGCUAAGAGACAGAAGCUGCAAUGCCUUCGGGCGGCGUGGUGGAUGUUUCGACCCUAGUUGGUAUUAGGUGCACUGAGGAGUGACGCAGGAGGGUAGUCCAACCGCGGCGAUGGUAGGCGUAAGCUGAUCCGCGGGCAAGGUGGUAGGGCGAGGCAUAGGCAAAUCCGUGUCUCAUUGUGCCUGAGAGCCGAGGCGGACCCGUUCAGGGGAAGUGGAUGAUCCCAUGCUGCCGAGAAAAACUUCGUAGUGAGUGUUAGAGCCGCCCGUACCCCAAACCGACACAGGUGAUCAGGUAGAGAAUACCAAGGCGAUCGAGUGAACCAUGGUUAAGGAACUCGGCAAAAUGCCCCCGUAACUUCGGGAGAAGGGGGGCCGGAUCCGUUACAUCCUUCUCGGAUGGAAGCGGUGAUGGCCGCAGAGACCAGGCCCAAGCGACUGUUUACUAAAAACACAGGUCCGUGCGAAGAAGUAAUUCGAUGUAUACGGACUGACGCCUGCCCGGUGCUGGAACGUUAAGGGGACAGGUUAGCUGGUUUAGGCCGGCGAAGCUUUGAACUUAAGCGCCAGUAAACGGCGGUGGUAACUAUAACCAUCCUAAGGUAGCGAAAUUCCUUGUCGGGUAAGUUCCGACCUGCACGAAUGGCGUAACGACUUGGGCGCUGUCUCAACCGUGGACUCGGCGAAAUUGCAUUACGAGUAAAGAUGCUCGUUACGCGCAGCAGGACGGAAAGACCCCGGGACCUUUACUACAACUUGGUAUUGGUGGUCGGUAUAACUUGUGUAGGAUAGGUGGGAGACUGUGAAGCUCGGACGCCAGUUCGGGUGGAGUCAUCGUUGAAAUACCACUCUGGUUGUUCUGGCUGUCUAACUUUGGUCCGUUAUCCGGAUCAGGGACAGUGCCUGGUGGGUAGUUUGACUGGGGCGGUCGCCUCCUAAAAGGUAACGGAGGCGCUCAAAGGUUCCCUCAGCCUGGUUGGCAAUCAGGUGUCGAGUGUAAGUGCACAAGGGAGCUUGACUGUGAGACAGACAUGUCGAGCAGGGACGAAAGUCGGAACUAGUGAUCCGGCGGUGGCAUGUGGGAGCACCGUCGCUCAACGGAUAAAAGGUACCCCGGGGAUAACAGGCUGAUCUUCCCCAAGAGUCCAUAUCGACGGGAUGGUUUGGCACCUCGAUGUCGGCUCGUCGCAUCCUGGGGCUGGAGUAGGUCCCAAGGGUUGGGCUGUUCGCCCAUUAAAGCGGCACGCGAGCUGGGUUUAGAACGUCGUGAGACAGUUCGGUCCCUAUCCGCUGCGCGCGCAGGAGACUUGAGAAGGGCUGCCCCUAGUACGAGAGGACCGGGGUGGACGAACCUCUGGUGUGCCAGUUGUUCCGCCAGGAGCACGGCUGGUUGGCUACGUUCGGGAGUGAUAACCGCUGAAAGCAUCUAAGCGGGAAGCACGCUUCAAGAUGAGGUCUCCCACCGACUUGAUCGGGUAAGGCCCCCAGUAGACCACUGGGUUGAUAGGCCAGAGGUGGAAGCACGGCAACGUGUGCAGCUGACUGGUACUAAUAGGCCGAGGGCUUGUCUCAACUCAUCAACAUCAAACACA
rnacentral:rRNA from 1 species